rnacentral:guide_RNA from 1 species
AAUAACAACAAUCGCGAGUAAAGAUAGAUGUAAGUGAGAAAU